CCGAAAUUAGUUCAUCGAAUCAAGAAGAGAGCAACAGUUUCAGUCUUCGAAGUCUCAGAAAAGAUUGCUGCAAUGAGUGUAGCAGGUCAAACAACUCCAUUGAUCAUGAAACUAGUGGCAUUGCAUCAGGCAGGAGGAUUGAGAUUUGCAUGGGGGGCAGGUGCAAGAAGUUGGGAGCACUUGCAUUGUUGGAAGAAUUUGAGAAUAAGGUAGGAACGGGGG
rnacentral:misc_RNA from 1 species